rnacentral:rRNA from 1 species
AGCAGCCGCGGUAAUUCCAGCUCCAAUAGCGUAUAUUAAAGUUGUUGCAGUUAAAAGCUCGUAGUUGAAUUUCGGGGUUCUUCCGUUGGUCAGGCUAACAAGUCUGUACUAGCGUGUAGAAUCUCUACCUUCUGGGGAACCAUCAUGUUAUUAAUUUAGCGUGGUGGGAAACCAGGACCUUUACCUUGAAAAAUUAGAGUGUUCAAAGCAGGCUUACGUCUGAAUACAUUAGCAUGGAAUAAUAAAAUAGGACGGUGGUCCUGUUUUGUUGGUUUCUGAAUCACCGUAAUGAUUAAUAGGGAUAGUUGGGGGCAUUAGUAUUCAAUUGUCAGAGGUGAAAUUCUUGGAUUUAUUGAAGACUAACUUCUGCGAAAGCAUUUGCCAAGGAUGUUUUCAUUAAUCAAGAACGAAAGUUAGGGGAUCGAAGACGAUCAGAUACCGUCGUAGUCUUAACCAUAAACUAUGCCGACUAGGGAUCGGACGAUGUUAAAUUUUAUUGACUCGUUCGGCGCCUUACGGA